rnacentral:pre_miRNA from 1 species
GAGGCUAUUCACAGAUGAGGUAGUUGGUUGUAUUGUUUUACACCUUCGGCGAUAACUAUACAGCCAGCUAACUUUACUGUGGUUGCUAAAUAUCGUCCAGCA